AUUGAACGCUGGCGGCAUGCCUUACACAUGCAAGUCGAACGGCAGCACGGGAGCAAUCCUGGUGGCGAGUGGCGAACGGGUGAGUAAUAUAUCGGAACGUGCCCAGUCGUGGGGGAUAACGCAGCGAAAGUUGUGCUAAUACCGCAUACGAUCUAUGGAUGAAAGCGGGGGAUCGCAAGACCUCGCGCGAUUGGAGCGGCCGAUAUCAGAUUAGGUUGUUGGUGAGGUAAAAGCUCACCAAGCCUGCGAUCUGUAGCUGGUCUGAGAGGACGACCAGCCACACUGGAACUGAGACACGGUCCAGACUCCUACGGGAGGCAGCAGUGGGGAAUUUGGACAAUGGACGCAAGUCUGAUCCAGCAAUGCCGCGUGCAGGACGAAGGCCUUCGGGUUGUAAACUGCUUUGUACAGAACGAAAAGUACUUUAAUAACACUAGAGGCUCAUGACGGUACUGUAAGAAUAAGCACCGGCUAACC
rnacentral:rRNA from 1 species